GGGAUUGUUCCAUCCUAAGUGCAGGGCUUUGCACUUGUCCUUGCUGAACCUCAUGAGAUUUCUUUUCAUUUAGUCCUCUAAUUUGUCGAGGUCACUGUGAAUCCUAAUCCUACCCUCCAGCAUAUCUACUACUCCCUUCAGCUUGGUGACAGAUUCCUUG